rnacentral:rRNA from 1 species
UCGAGCGGAAACGAGUUAACUGAACCUUCGGGGGACGUUAACGGCGUCCAGCGGCGGACGGGUGAGUAAUGCCUAGGAAAUUGCCCUGAUGUGGGGGAUAACCAUUGGAAACGAUGGCUAAUACCGCAUGAUGCCUACGGGCCAAAGAGGGGGACCUUCGGGCCUCUCGCGUCAGGAUAUGCCUAGGUGGGGUUAGCUAGUUGGUGAGGUAAGGGCUCACCAAGGCGACGAUCCCUAGCUGGUCUGAGAGGAUGAUCAGCCACACUGGAACUGAGACACGGUCCAGACUCCUACGGGAGGCAGCAGUGGGGAAUAUUGCACAAUGGGCGCAAGCCUGAUGCAGCCAUGCCGCGUGUGUGAAGAAGGCCUUCGGGUUGUAAAGCACUUUCAGUCGUGAGGAAGGUUUAUGCGUUAAUAGCGUAUAGAUUUGACGUUAGCGACAGAAGAAGCACCGGCUAACUCCGUGCCAGCAGCCGCGGUAAUACGGAGGGUGCGAGCGUUAAUCGGAAUUACUGGGCGUAAAGCGCGUGCAGGUGGUUUGUUAAGUCAGAUGUGAAAGCCCGGGGCUCAACCUCGGAAUAGCAUUUGAAACUGGCAGACUAGAGUACUGUAGA